GAUGAACGCUGGCGGCGUGCCUAAUACAUGCAAGUCGAGCGAACGGACGGGAAGCUUGCUUCUCUGAUGUUAGCGGCGGACGGGUGAGUAACACGUGGAUAACCUACCUAUAAGACUGGGAUAACUUCGGGAAACCGGAGCUAAUACCGGAUGAUAUUUUGAACCGCAUGGUUCAAAAGUGAAAGACGGUCUUGCUGUCACUUAUAGAUGGAUCCGCGCUGCAUUAGCUAGUUGGUAAGGUAACGGCUUACCAAGGCAACGAUGCAUAGCCGACCUGAGAGGGUGAUCGGCCACACUGGAACUGAGACGCGGUCCAGACUCCUACGGGAGGCAGCAGUAGGGAAUCUUCCGCAAUGGGCGAAAGCCUGACGGAGCAACGCCGCGUGAGUGAUGAAGGUCUUCGGAUCGUAAAACUCUGUUAUUAGGGAAGAACAUAUGUGUAAGUAACUGUGCACAUCUUGACGGUACCUAAUCAGAAAGCCACGGCUAACUACGUG
rnacentral:rRNA from 1 species